rnacentral:rRNA from 1 species
AUUGAACGCUGGCGGCAUGCCUUACACAUGCAAGUCGAACGGUAACAGGUCUUCGGAUGCUGACGAGAGGCGAACGGGUGAGUAAUGCAUCGGAACGUGCCCAGUAGUGGGGGAUAACGUAGUGAAAAUUACGCUAAUACCGCAUACGAUCUACGGAUGAAAGCGGGGGAUAGCAAGACCUUGCGCGAUUGGAGCGGCCGAUAUCAGAUUAGGUAGUUGGUGAGGUAAAGGCUCACCAAGCCAACGAUCUGUAGCUGGUCUGAGAGGACGACCAGCCACACUGGAACUGAGACACGGUCCAGACUCCUACGGGAGGCAGCAGUGGGGAAUUUUGGACAAUGGACGCAAGUCUGAUCCAGCCAUUCCGCGUGCAGGACGAAGGCCUUCGGGUUGUAAACUGCUUUUGUACAGAACGAAAAGGUCUCUAUUAAUACUAGGGGCUCAUGACGGUACUGUAAGAAUAAGCACCGGCUAACUACGUGCCAGCCGCCGCAGUAACAC